rnacentral:rRNA from 1 species
UACGGGAGGCAGCAGGGGGAAUAUUGCACAAUGGGCGAAAGCCUGAUGCAGCUAUGCCGCGUGUAUGAAGAAGGCCUUAGGGUUGUAAAGUACUUUCAUCGGGGAGGAAAAAACAAAACUAAUAAUUUUAUUUCUUGACGUUACCCGAAAAAGAAGCACCGGCUAACUCCGUGCCAGCAGCCGCGGUAAUACGGAGGGUGCUAGCGUUAAUCAGAAUUACUGGGCGUAAAGAGCACGUAGGUGGUUUUUUUAAGUCAGAUGUGAAAUCCCUGGGCUUUAACCUAGGAACUGCAUUUUGAAACUGAAAUACUAGAGUAUCGUAGAGGGAGGUAGAAUUCUAGGUGUAGCGGUGAAAUGCGUAGAUAUCUGGAGGAAUACCUGUGGCGAAAGCGGCCUCCUAAACGAAUACUGACACUGAGGUGCGAAAGCGUGGGGAGCAAACAGGGAUUAGAUACC